UAACACAUGCAAGUCGAACGGAAAGGCCCUGCUUUUGUGGGGUGCUCGAGUGGCGAACGGGUGAGUAACACGUGAGUAACCUGCCCUUGACUUUGGGAUAACUUCAGGAAACUGGGGCUAAUACCGGAUAGGAGCUCCUGCUGCAUGGUGGGGGUUGGAAAGUUUCGGCGGUUGGGGAUGGACUCGCGGCUUAUCAGCUUGUUGGUGGGGUAGUGGCUUACCAAGGCUUUGACGGGUAGCCGGCCUGAGAGGGUGACCGGCCACAUUGGGACUGAGAUACGGCCCAGACACCUACGGGAGGCAGCAGUGGGGAAUAUUGCACAAUGGGCGGAAGCCUGAUGCAGCAACGCCGCGUGCGGGAUGACGGCCUUCGGGUUGUAAACCGCUUUCGCCUGUGACGAAGCGUGAGUGACGGUAAUGGGUAAAGAAGCACCGGCUAACUACGUGCCAGCAGCCGCGGUGAUACGUAGGGUGCGAGCGUUGUCCGGAUUUAUUGGGCGUAAAGGGCUCGUAGGUGGUUGAUCGCGUCGGAAGUGUAAUCUUGGGGCUUAACCCUGAGCGUGCUUUCGAUACGGGUUGACUUGAGGAAGGUAGGGGAGAAUGGAAUUCCUGGUGGAGCGGUGGAAUGCGCAGAUAUCAGGAGGAACACCAGUGGCGAAGGCGGUUCUCUGGGCCUUUCCUGACGCUGAGGAGCGAAAGCGUGGGGAGCGAACAGGCUUAGAUACCCUGGUAGUCCACGCUGUAAACGGUGGGUACUAGGUGUGGGGUCCAUUCCACGGGUUCCGUGCCGUAGCUAACGCUUUAAGUACCCCGCCUGGGGAGUACGGCCGCAAGGCUAAAACUCAAAGGAAUUGACGGGGCCCCGCACAAGCGGCGGAGCAUGCGGAUUAAUUCGAUGCAACGCGUAGAACCUUACCUGGGUUUGACAUGGAUCGGGAGUGCUCAGAGAUGGGUGUGCCUCUUUUGGGGUCGGUUCACAGGUGGUGCAUGGCUGUCGUCAGCUCGUGUCGUGAGAUGUUGGGUUAAGUCCCGCAACGAGCGCAACCCUUGUUCACUGUUGCCAGCACGUUAUGGUGGGGACUCAGUGGAGACCGCCGGGGUCAACUCGGAGGAAGGUGGGGAUGACGUCAAGUCAUCAUGCCCCUUAUGUCCAGGGCUUCACGCAUGCUACAAUGGCUGGUACAGAGAGUGGCGAGCCUGUGAGGGUGAGCGAAUCUCGGAAAGCCGGUCUCAGUUCGGAUUGGGGUCUGCAACUCGACCUCAUGAAGUCGGAGUCGCUAGUAAUCGCAGAUCAGCAACGCUGCGGUGAAUACGUUCCCGGGGCUUGUACACACCGCCCGUCAAGUCAUGAAAGUUGGUAACACCCGAAGCCGGUGGCCUAACCGUUGUGGGGGAGCCGUCGAAGGUGGGACUGGUGAUUAGGACU
rnacentral:rRNA from 1 species